rnacentral:lncRNA from 1 species
AAAUGUUCGAGGAUUUUUAAAGGAAGAAAUGCCAGUAAUGACCAACCAUGUAAAACCUCCAUCCUUUAAGACACCCUUAGUUGCACUGGUGGGAUAUUGGGCAGUUUGGCGCUCACAGGCCUGAAGUCCCUGAACGGAGCUGCUUUGCCGGCGCCUCCAGCGACCCAGGCUGUGUCUGGUGUAGACGGAACACAGUCCGCCUCUCAGGACCAGCUACCGGGCUUCCCGAAGCCUAAUACGCGCUUUUAUUUUAUUUUUUUUUUCCAGUUUCACUUUCCUAGAAUCAAAAUGUUUUUAUACUAAUGUGCUUGUGUUUAAAAUAUGUUCUUUUCCACCAGCUUAGAGGCUUUUGCCUGUUUGCUCAAUUUGUUUUUAUUGCCCCCUCUGCUUUCAGAGAGAGCUGGCCUGGCACCGUGAGUCCUCAGGAUCCUGGCCUCCUGCUGCCUUUCUCUUCUUUCGCGAAAAACAAAGGAGGUUGUUCUCAAGAUCAUGAUGAAUCUGGCAGUCUGUGGUGUCUGCACACGAGCCUGCACUUUCCAGGUCGUCUUCAAGUAAAUAUUUGUGGAGCCAAGAACUAGAUGUUAACUGCCACCAUAAAGCUUGCCUCAAGGAGAAGACACUCCGUAGAAAUCUAAAUUAGCUCAAAGUAAAGAGUCAGGUUUUCCACACUGCAAUUAUUUUUCUGUUUUUCAAUAGCAACUAACCUGCUAGUCAGGACUAACAAACCUUGAAUUCAGAAAUGGGCAGCCAGAUUCUUGUGUAACUAAAUGCCCAGCAAUAGAGGACUCCCUAUAGUUUUGAGGAUUUGUCCUAUUAUUUUGUAAACACAGUAAACAAUUUCCUGAAUACUAUAAUUCAAAUUAAAAAGGAAGAAGAAAGAAAGAAAGAAAGAAAGAAAGAAGAAAGAAAGAAAGAAAGAAAGAAAGAAAGAAAGAAAGAAAGAAAGAAAAAAAGAAAGAAAGAAAGAGGAAGAGGGAGGAAGAAAGGAAAACACGGUCAUCUGACAAAGACAACUAUGUAAGUAUCAUGUGUCCCUUCUAGUAUAAGGACAACUGACACAGAUGGGGCACCUGGUGGCUCAGCGGUUUGGCACCUGCCUUGGGCCCAGGGCGUGACCCUGGGGUCCUGGGAUCGAGUUCUGCGUCGGGCUCCCUGCAUGGAGCCUGCUUCUCCCUCUGCCUGUGUCUCUGCCUCUCUCUCUGGGUCUCUCAUGAAUAAAUAAAUAACAUCUUAGAAAAGAAAAGAAGAGAAGAGAAAAAAGAAAAGAAAAGAAAAGAAAAGAAAAGAAAAGAAAAGAAAAGAAAAGAAAAGAAAAGAAAGAAAAGAAAAACUGAUACAGAUGCAGAUCAUUGGCAGACAUGUCUGCUCUGCUCAGGCAAGCUCUAUCAUUCUUGGGUUAUUGUUAACCCUGAAAGUCCAAAUUCAGAUUCGACCAAGUAAAGAGAAGCCAUGAGCAGUUAUCUAGCAGUGGGAAAAGACAGACUUUGGCAUUGCAAAAUCUGGAAUGAAGUCCCUGCUUGGUCCCUUAUUAGCUGAGAGAAUUUGGGUUAGUCGCUUAAUCCCUCUAAGCCUUAUUUCCCACAUCUGUCAAUUAAGAAUGAUACAUGUUCUUUCAGAAGGUGUUUGGAGAUUGAAAUGACAUAAUGAAAAUGCAUAUACUUUAUAACUCUAAAAUGCCCUACAAAUGUUAUUUUAAAACAUUUUAAAAAUA